UACGUAGGGUGCAAGCGUUAUCCGGAAUUAUUGGGCGUAAAGAGCUCGUAGGCGGUUUGUCGCGUCUGCUGUGAAAACUGGAGGCUCAACCUCCAGCCUGCAGUGGGUACGGGCAGACUAGAGUGCGGUAGGGGAGAUUGGAAUUCCUGGUGUAGCGGUGGAAUGCGCAGAUAUCAGGAGGAACACCGAUGGCGAAGGCAGAUCUCUGGGCCGUAACUGACGCUGAGGAGCAAAAGCAUGGGGAGCAAACAGG
rnacentral:rRNA from 1 species